rnacentral:misc_RNA from 1 species
GCUUACCCCUCGAAGGGAAUUCGAUGGUUUCGGUGUCCCCAUCCGCCUUGCACCCCUUGGGGGCGUGGGGUGGACGCGAGGCGGGCUCCGUGAUCCAGGCGUGCCUCACGGUUUGUCGUGUGGCCGUUGUGGUUCAUGGAGUCUUUGCCCGUUCUCUCGGAUGCGGAAUGUCACGCGUGGGCGUGGGGCCUCGGCCUUGUUUCGUCCAAGCUAAGCAUUCGUCCCUCGACGCRAACGACCGUCGCGCUCGUCUUGACCGUCUCGGGCGUCCUCCCACGCGGGGCGCCCGGAGUGUGGCUCAUGCGGGCGUCGGCGUCGCGAAGGAAUGCUACCUGGUUGAUCCUGCCAGU